UCCUGAAAUCAAGGGGGUUGGAACUACAUGAUCCUUGAGGUCCCUUCCAACCCGGGUCAUUCUGUGAUUCUGUGUGGGUCAGGAUGACUCGCUAUAGCAAUGUGCUUCUCUUAAAGUUACUCGCUUUUUCAUGAAAAGGGGAAAAAUAAGGUGAAUUUGAAUAGGAGCCGUCUGAGAUGGAGCAGCCUGUGUUUGCCAAAGGCUUUUGCAGCGUUGGGAUGUGAACAGCGUGUGGUGACGUAGGGCAGGUACAAGGUAUUCCAUCAUGAAGUUUCUCUUCAGGGAACAGAAGUUCCAACUAUUCAGCAUCCCUUCUUUUACACGGCCUACUUUAAACCUGACACGAUGCAAUGUGCUCAAAGAAGACAGUGUUAUCGUUGUUGGCUCUAACACAUCAAAACAACAGUCUUGAAAACUUAUGUCUAAGCAUCCUGGUUUGUUAAGUGUGUAGCCGCAUCCAUCCCCACAUCCGGUGUCAGUCUUCUUCUCCUACCUGCUCAUACACAACCUGUAAACAGUGACACAAUCCCUCUGUGGAAAGAACUCUGCAUUCUUUCAAGUCUGCUGGCAGUGACUCUGAGGGACGGAGCUUAUCGUGGGCAUCGAGGCCAUACUAAUGCCUACCCACACAAACACACAGAGGUAUGUGCUGGUGCAGUCGUUGUCAGGGACACUGUGGCUAUGGUAAUGCCUACCUACACGAACAUGCAAAAGUAUCUGCCAAUAUAUUAGCUUCCUCCUGCCAAAUCAUUCUAAUAAGGAAGAUGAUGAAGAAAUGAAGAAUGGGAUACACGAUGGUCACAUUAACGUCCUUCUUGAGCCUUAGCAUAUGCUGCAUUUUCCAAGAUACAAAUCAUACCGAUAAUCUCUAGAUGUUAAAUCACACAAAACUUGGGAAUUUUUUCUUCUGAAUUUUU
rnacentral:lncRNA from 1 species